rnacentral:lncRNA from 1 species
CUAGAAUGCAGCAUAAGGAUUACCGUAGUCCUCUCUUUGGUUUUCUGACUGCUGCUCACUUGAAGCACCAAACACAACAUUGUGACUACCCUAACUUGCAACAUCACUUGAAGAAACCGUAGAAUCUGAUAAAAACUUUGAAAUUGAAGAAAUUAUUCUCACUGUCUUAGCCUUUGCUACAUGAGAAACCUAAGUAUAUUUUUGGAAACAAUGGCAAGUCCAACUCCAUGUUUCAUUAGCUAUGCCCGGCCUUCGUCACAACCACAUAGCUGAUCCAAUAUUAUCAAAAUAAGCUCACAAGCCCUUCUUUCAGAUGUGAAUCUCUAUUAGUGCGGAAACUAAGCCUGACUCGAUCGCUUUGAUUCAGUUCUUCUUCCUCACAGACAUAGCUCCACAAGGAGCUUCAAUGCUGCCUUGGAAGCUUGGUGCAAGGCAGAUUUAAGUAUCAUUAUUGCAUGAGCUCGAAAUUGGUAAUUCCCGCAUUUCAAUACGUGAAAUAAACCCUCCAAGAGUUGAUCGUCAUUUCAUAAGAUUUUCCUCAAAACUGGAUCUGAGAUUUCUAGAUGAUAAAGAAUGUUCAAUACCUCGUCACUUUCCAUACCAAAGUCUGAAUCUUGAUCCCUAUCGAAUACUAAAUAUUCAACUGUACCAGCAGCUUCGAAAUGCCUUCUACUGCUUUCGUUGAGUCGUUGCAGGCAUUGACCAUUGCCUUAGGAGUUGGAAUUGAUUCGAUGAAUUGGGAGUGCACCAGGCCUGAAUCAAUCGACGGAGAGUGUGGUUAGGAGUUAGAUCCGUUUUUUAUACUUGUUUUUUGACUGGACGUGUAAAUUUGGCUCAACUUCAAAGGAAAAGAAAG